rnacentral:rRNA from 1 species
GUCGAGCGAAUGGAUUGAGAGCUUGCUCUCAAGAAGUUAGCGGCGGACGGGUGAGUAACACGUGGGUAACCUGCCCAUAAGACUGGGAUAACUCCGGGAAACCGGGGCUAAUACCGGAUAACAUUUUGAACUGCAUGGUUCGAAAUUGAAAGGCGGCUUCGGCUGUCACUUAUGGAUGGACCCGCGUCGCAUUAGCUAGUUGGUGAGGUAACGGCUCACCAAGGCAACGAUGCGUAGCCGACCUGAGAGGGUGAUCGGCCACACUGGGACUGAGACACGGCCCAGACUCCUACGGGAGGCAGCAGUAGGGAAUCUUCCGCAAUGGACGAAAGUCUGACGGAGCAACGCCGCGUGAGUGAUGAAGGCUUUCGGGUCGUAAAACUCUGUUGUUAGGGAAGAACAAGUGCUAGUUGAAUAAGCUGGCACCUUGACGGUACCUAACCAGAAAGCCACGGCUAACUACGUGCCAGCAGCCGCGGUAAUACGUAGGUGGCAAGCGUUAUCCGGAAUUAUUGGGCGUAAAGCGCGCGCAGGUGGUUUCUUAAGUCUGAUGUGAAAGCCCACGGCUCAACCGUGGAGGGUCAUUGGAAACUGGGAGACUUGAGUGCAGAAGAGGAAAGUGGAAUUCCAUGUGUAGCGGUGAAAUGCGUAGAGAUAUGGAGGAACACCAGUGGCGAAGCGACUUUCUGGUCUGUAACUGACACUGAGGCGCGAAAGCGUGGGGAGCAAACAGGAUUAGAUACC